UACGGGGGGGAGCAAGCGUUGUUCGGAUUUACUGGGCGUAAAGGGCGCGUAGGCGGUCAGCACAAGUCAGUUGUGAAAUCUCCGGGCUUAACUCGGAAAGGUCAACUGAUACUGUGCGACUAGAGUGCAGAAGGGGCAACUGGAAUUCUCGGUGUAGCGGUGAAAUGCGUAGAUAUCGAGAGGAACACCUGCGGCGAAGGCGGGUAGCUGGGCCGACACUGACGCUGAUGCGCGAAAGCCAGGGGAGCGAACGGG
rnacentral:rRNA from 1 species